UACGGAGGGGGCUAGCGUUGUUCGGAAUUACUGGGCGUAAAGCGCGCGUAGGCGGACCUGCAAGUCGGGGGUGAAAGCCCGAGGCUCAACCUCGGAACUGCCUUCGAUACUGCGGGUCUCGAGUCCGGGAGAGGUGAGUGGGAAUUCCUAGUGUAGAGGUGAAAUUCGUAGAUAUUAGGAAGAACACCAGUGGCGAAGGGCGGCUACACC
rnacentral:rRNA from 1 species